CCCAGGGAUUCACCCUGGCCUCGGACUAAUCCUAUGGGGCGCUUGCAAACCCCGGCCAUCCCCUGGAGUCUGAAGGUCAUUCCGGACUCCUGACGCCGCCAGUCCCGCGGUGAGACGUGAGCGCCAUUGGCGUCCGUGGCCUCUGUUUCCGUGGCAACCUAGUAACCAUUAAUUUUCAAUUAAAGGAGACAAAAAGCUCGAUGACAGCUCCAGGUCUGCUGAAGAUGUCAAGAAUCUGUAUUAAUAUACAGCAAGAGAGCAUAAUUGUGUGUCCAUCUUCCAGAGCAGCGAAAAAUGGAGGGAUAAUUACCAGCUCGAAAGCCACUCUGUAAUUUAGUUCUUACUGUCACCACAGCCCUACACAUUAGCAUAAAUUAAAAGCAGAGUUUAUUGUUAUCAAAGUG
rnacentral:lncRNA from 1 species